GACUCUCCGCCCUCUGCAUAAAAUCCUACUCGAAACGUUCAGACCACAGGUGGACCCAAGAGGGGCUGCCUCUGCCCUCCUAGACCCCCACUGGUCUUGUCAUACCGCUCACCUAGCUUGAUCCGCCCCACAGUCUUUGGAAUCGGCGCCAUCGCAUCUACAGUGACCCGGAAAUGAAAGAGAAAAGCCUUGAGCCACGUCCCAGGGGCCGCACGUCCUUUCCCCACGUCCCGUGUGCUCCGCCUCUUGACGGGGGAGCGGGGUUGCCAGGUGGCAAGUCGGCUGGACGAGGCGCUCCAAGGAUCGGCGUUGAGGGACCAGCUCCGCAGGCGGUGCCAAGAGGAGGGGGAUCUGCUACCAGGGCUGCUGGGCCUGGUCGGGGGCGUGGCGGGUUCAGCCAGCUGUGGACUAGGGCUCGGAGGGGCUGGGGCCUUGUGGAGCCAAUACUGGACCCUGCUGUGGGCAGCCUGUGCUCAGAGUCUGGACCUAAAUCUGGGACCCUGGAGGGACCCCAGGGCAACAGCGCAACAGCUGAGUCAGGCACUGGGUCAGGCAUCCCUGCCUCAGGAGUGUGAGAAGGAGCUGGCAUCUUUGUGUCACAGACUACUUCAUCAGUCGCUUAUCUGGAGCUGGGACCAAGGUUUCUGCCAGGCCUUGGGAUCAGCUCUUGGGGGUCAGAGCAGCCUUCCCACAUCCUCUGGCACUGCUGAACUUUUGCAGCAGCUCUUUCCUCCUCUCUUGGAUGCCCUUCGAGAGCCCAGGUUACGACGGAUUUUCUGCCAGCCUGCAGAUCCUGCGCCUGUCGCCCUAGGUCUCUGUACCCUUCAGACCACCUUGCUCUGGUUCCUGGGCAGAGCUCAGCAGUACUUGGCAGCAUGGGACCCAGCUUCCUUCCUGCUCCUGAUCCAAAAGGACUUACCUCCUCUGUUGCAUGAGGCAGAAGCUUUGUAUAGCCUGGCCUCAGAGGAAAGCUUAGCUCUGGAAGUGGAGCAGCAGCUGGGCCUGGAGAUCCAGAAGCUGACUGCACAGAUCCAG
rnacentral:lncRNA from 1 species